rnacentral:rRNA from 1 species
UACGGAGGGGGCUAGCGUUGUUCGGAAUUACUGGGCGUAAAGCGCGCGUAGGCGGACCUGUAAGUCGGGGGUGAAAGCCCGAGGCUCAACCUCGGAACUGCCUUCGAUACUGCGGGUCUCGAGUCCGGGAGAGGCGAGUGGAAUUCCUGGUGUAGCGGUGAAAUGCGCAGAUAUCAGGAGGAACACCGAUUGCGAAGGCAGCUCGCUGGAACGUUACUGACGCUGAGACGCGAAAGCGUGGGGAGCAAACAGG